rnacentral:rRNA from 1 species
GAUGAACGCUAGCGGCAGGCCUAAUACAUGCAAGUCGGACGGGAUUCAGGAGCUUGCUUCUGAUGAGAGUGGCGCACGGGUGCGUAACACGUAUGUAACCUACCUUUAUCAGGGGGAUAGCCUCUCGAAAGAGAGAUUAAGCCCGCAUAAAAUCACAGCACAGCAUUGUGUAAUGAUCAAAUAUUUAUAGGAUAAAGAUGGGCAUGCGGAACAUUAGCUAGAUGGCGGGGUAACGGCCCACCAUGGCGACGAUGUUUAGGGGAUCUGAGAGGAUGGCCCCCCACACGGGUACUGAGACACGGACCAGACUCCUACGGGAGGCAGCAGUAAGGAAUAUUGAUCAAUGGGCGGAAGCCUGAACCAGCCAUGCCGCGUGCAGGAAGACGGCCCUACGGGUUGUAAACUGCUUUUAUACGGGAAUAAACCCAGAUACGUGUAUCUGGCUGAAUGUACUGUAAGAAUAAGGAUCGGCUAACUCCGUG